AGAGUUUGAUCCUGGCUCAGAUUGAACGCUAGCGGGAUGCCUUACACAUGCAAGUCGAACGGCAGCACGGACUUCGGUCUGGUGGCGAGUGGCGAACGGGUGAGUAAUGUAUCGGAACGUGCCUAGUAGCGGGGGAUAACUACGCGAAAGCGUAGCUAAUACCGCAUACGCCCUACGGGGGAAAGCAGGGGAUCGCAAGACCUUGCACUAUUAGAGCGGCCGAUAUCGGAUUAGCUAGUUGGUGGGGUAACGGCUCACCAAGGCGACGAUCCGUAGCUGGUUUGAGAGGACGACCAGCCACACUGGGACUGAGACACGGCCCAGACUCCUACGGGAGGCAGCAGUGGGGAAUUUUGGACAAUGGGGGAAACCCUGAUCCAGCCAUCCCGCGUGUGCGAUGAAGGCCUUCGGGUUGUAAAGCACUUUUGGCAGGAAAGAAACGUCAUGGGCUAAUACCCCGUGAAACUGACGGUACCUGCAGAAUAAGCACCGGCUAACUACGUGCCAGCAGCCGCGGUAAUACGUAGGGUGCAAGCGUUAAUCGGAAUUACUGGGCGUAAAGCGUGCGCAGGCGGUUCGGAAAGAAAGAUGUGAAAUCCCAGAGCUUAACUUUGGAACUGCAUUUUUAACUACCGAGCUAGAGUGUGUCAGAGGGAGGUGGAAUUCCGCGUGUAGCAGUGAAAUGCGUAGAUAUGCGGAGGAACACCGAUGGCGAAGGCAGCCUCCUGGGAUAACACUGACGCUCAUGCACGAAAAGCGUGGGGAGCAAAACAGGAUUAGAUACCCUGGUAGUCCACGCCCUAAACGAUGUCAACUAGCUGUUGGGGCCUUCGGGCCUUGGUAGCGCAGCUAACGCGUGAAGUUGACCGCCUGGGGAGUACGGUCGCAAGAUUAAAACUCAAAGGAAUUGACGGGGACCCGCACAAGCGGUGGAUGAUGUGGAUUAAUUCGAUGCAACGCGAAAAACCUUACCUACCCUUGACAUGUCUGGAAUUCCGAAGAGAUUUGGAAGUGCUCGCAAGAGAACUGGAACACAGGUGCUGCAUGGCUGUCGUCAGCUCGUGUCGUGAGAUGUUGGGUUAAGUCCCGCAACGAGCGCAACCCUUGUCAUUAGUUGCUACGAAAGGGCACUCUAAUGAGACUGCCGGUGACAAACCGGAGGAAGGUGGGGAUGACGUCAAGUCCUCAUGGCCCUUAUGGGUAGGGCUUCACACGUCAUACAAUGGUCGGGACAGAGGGUCGCCAACCCGCGAGGGGGAGCCAAUCCCAGAAACCCGAUCGUAGUCCGGAUCGCAGUCUGCAACUCGACUGCGUGAAGUCGGAAUCGCUAGUAAUCGCGGAUCAGCAUGUCGCGGUGAAUACGUUCCCGGGUCUUGUACACACCGCCCGUCACACCAUGGGAGUGGGUUUUACCAGAAGUAGUUAGCCUAACCGUAAGGGGGGCGAUUACCACGGUAGGAUUCAUGACUGGGGUGAAGUCGUAACAAGGUA
rnacentral:rRNA from 1 species